rnacentral:rRNA from 1 species
UACGUAGGUGGCAAGCGUUGUCCGGAUUUACUGGGCGUAAAGAGCGCGCGGGCGGUCGUAUAAGUCGAAUGUGAAAGCCCCCGGCUCAACUGGGGAGGGUCAUUCGAUACUGUUCGACUCGAAGGCAGGAGAGGGAAGUGGAAUUCCGGGUGUAGUGGUGAAAUGCGUAGAUAUCCGGAGGAACACCAGUGGCGAAGGCGACUUUCUGGCCUGUUCUUGACGCUGAGGCGCGAAAGCUAGGGGAGCAAACGGG